rnacentral:rRNA from 1 species
GACGAACGCUGGCGGCGUGCUUAACACAUGCAAGUCGGACGGUUGGCACUGGAAGGUUCGCUGGAAGGUGCUGAUAGUGGCGGACGGGUGAGUAACGCGUGAGGACAUGUCUGCAGGAGGGGGAUAACGUUUGGAAACGGACGCUAAGACCCCGUAAGCCGGGAGGUGAAAGUGGCGAAAGCCAGCCUGUGGAGUGACUCGCGUCCUAUCAGCUAGUUGGCGGGGUGAAGGCCCACCAAGGCGAUGACGGGUAGCCGACCUGAGAGGGUGGCCGGCCACACUGGAACUGAGAUACGGUCCAGACUCCUACGGGAGGCAGCAGUGGGGAAUAUUGGGCAAUGGGCGGAAGCCUGACCCAGCGACGCCGCGUGGGGGAAGAAGUCUUUCGGGAUGUAAACCCUUGUUGUACGGUACGAAGGAAGUGACGGUACCGUACGAGGAAGCCCCGGCAAACUACGUGCCAGCAGCCGCGGUAAUACGUAGGGGGCGAGCGUUGUCCGGAAUCACUGGGCGUAAAGCGCACGUAGGCGGGCUGUCAAGUCGGCCGUGAAAGGCAUGGGCUCAACCUGUGCAUGUCGGUCGAUACUGGCGGUCUGGAGUAUGGGAGAGGGAACUGGAAUUCCCGGUGUAGCGGUGAAAUGCGUAGAUAUCGGGAGGAACACCAGUGGCGAAGGCGGGUUCCUGGCCCAUGACUGACGCUGAGGUGCGAAAGCCGGGGGAGCGAACGGGAUUAGAUCCCCCGGUAGUCCCGGCUGUAAACGAUGGAUGCUAGGUGUGGGGGGGGUUACCUUCUGUGCCGCAGCUAACGCGAUAAGCAUCCCGCCUGGGGAGUACGAUCGCAAGAUUGAAACUCAAGGAAUUGACAGGGGCCCGCACAAGCGGUGGAGCACGUGGUUUAAUUUCGAUGCAACCCGAAGAACCUUACCUGGUUUGACAUGCACGUGGUACGGAGAUGAAAGUUGAUGACCCGUAGAGAUACGGGGAGCGGUGCACAGUGCUGCAUGCUGUCGUCAGCUCGUGUCGUGAGAUGUUGGGGUAGUCCCGCACGAGCGCACCCUGCCAUCAGUUGCCAGCAUGAAGUCAGGAACUCUUGGAAUGGAACUGACCGGGCUUAACCAUAGGCCCUCGGGAUAAGAUAAAGGAUCG